CACCGGCGGCUCGAGUGGUAACCGUUAUUAUUGGGUCUAAAGGGUCUGUAGCCGGCCGGAUAAGUCUCUUGAGAAAUCUGGCAGCUUAACUGUCAGGCUUUCAGGAGAUACUGUCUGGCUCGAGGCCGGGAGAGGUGAGAGGUACUUCAGGGGUAGGGGUGAAAUCUUGUAAUCCUUGAAGGACCACCAGUGGCGAAGGCGUCUCACCAGAACGGACCUGACGGCAAGGGACGAAAGCUAGGGGCACGAACCGGAUUAGAUACCCCUGUAGUCCCUGAGCGGG
rnacentral:rRNA from 1 species